rnacentral:rRNA from 1 species
AGAAAAUAGAUACCCUGGUAGUCCACGCCGUAAACGAUGGAAGCUAGCCGUUGGUAAGCAUGCUUAUCAGUGGCGCAGCUAACGCAUUAAGCUUCCCGCCUGGGGAGUACGGUCGCAAGAUUAAAACUCAAAGGAAUUGACGGGGGCCCGGCACAAGCGGUGGAGCAUGUGGUUCAAUUCGACGCAACGCGAAGAACCUUACCAGCCCUUGACAUGUCCAGGACCGGUCGCAGAGACGCGACCUUCUCUUCGGAGCUUGGAACACAGGUGCUGCAUGGCUGUCGUCAGCUCGUGUCGUGAGAUGUUGGGUUUAAGUCCCGCAACGAGCGCAACCCUCGUCCUUAGUUGCCAUCAUUUAGUUGGGUCACUCUAAGGAGACUGCCGGUGAUAAGCCGCGAGGAAGGUGGGGAUGACGUCAAGUCCUCAUGGCCCUUACGGGCUGGGCUACACACGUGCUACAAUGGCGGUUGACAAUGGGCAGCGAACCAGCAAUGGGGGUAGCUAACUCUCAAAAACGCCGUCUCAGUUC